rnacentral:lncRNA from 1 species
CUUCUCAGCACAAUUGUAAAAAAAAUAUGGCCAAUAAUGUGGAGAAAUAAAAUGUAUAGGACCGUGUGCUAACUUUGAUGAAUGACUGAAAUAAACUGAAGAUUUCACGCUAAUUAUGUUAAUUACUAAAAAUGUCAUAUGUUUUAAUAUCAUAUUUUGACAUUAGAAAUAAAGUAACAGUGCCGGCUUGUUACGGAUUCCAUUAAAAUAGUCUUUCAAGCAACUUGCUUAACAUGGCAAAAAGUAUCAUCCUUUUAAAUUAUAAAACUGAAAGAGAUUUUAUAAAAUCUUCAACGCGGCCAUCGAAACAAAAAUACCCUUUAAUGCGUCAUUUUGACGUCACGUCAAACGUAAUUUAGCCUUUUACAUAGAUAGACAGUGGUGUGGGAGACAUAUUGAUUUAUUCCGGUCUGUGUGGGUCCGUCUGUCUGACACAAAGCUUGUCCACACUUGUAAGUCGAACAUUUCCCUUUCGAUCAUUACCAAACUUGAAAGAAUGUGUUUGACCAUAAGACCUCGGCCAAGUUCGAUAACUAGCUAACUCGGUCCAGGCAUAUUGGAGUUACUUUGGAGUAACGGAAUCUAAGUUGAACAUUUUUAAUACAACCUUUGUCAAAUUUGUAUAAAAUGUGUUUGACCGUCAGACCUCGGACAAAUUCAAUAAUGUGCCAAAGUGGAGUUUGGGCCCCUGAAUUGUUGUGAGUAAUCUGUAUAUAAAGACUGACAUGCAAUUUAGAUGAUUAGGGACUGACUUGCAUAUUAGACGAUUAGGCAGUGGGAGGCAUUCCCUAUUCCCUUUUUCUCAAAAGCAGCUAUAUUUGUAGUGCUGAUAUGUCACAUGUGUAUACGGCAGUUGAAAUUUUUAAUUGUGCUCAUUCAACAUUGCAUCAAAGGCAUUGACAAUUAUAUGUACAUAGAAACAUUAAUAUCAGCAGCUCUAACAACUAGUUAUUUUUUUGUCAUAGUGAAUUAUACAUAGUUCAUUCUUCCAGACAGUUUAGGUUACCAUAUUGAUAUCUAAUAGCAAUCACUGAUAUUGUUACUGUAACGUUUUUUGCGUUCCGCCGCAACAUCAUCAUCUUUAUUUCAAGACCGUUAAGAUUCGCAGGUCUUUUUGCCCCAGGAUCUCCCAGUGUACUUUUUUAGGUUAUCACACCAAUUGAAAGGGAAAUAACUGCAACAUCCUUAUUUAAAGUUAAGUGGUUUUGGGUUGUUCCCCUUGAGUUAUCAUAUUAUAUUAUAUAGUAUCAAAUAAGUGAUUAUUUUGAUGCUGGGUGUCAUGGUGGUUGCAGUUUUUUUUGGGUGUUCUGGGGUAAAAAGACCAGCCUGUUACGGCCUGUUACGAUCCGUUUACCUUUUUGAAUUUUGAAUUUUGUAUUUAAAUUUUAAAUUUCCAACAACAUUGUCACAUGAUCAUAUCUUGUAUGUCAAUGUAUAUUAUGUAAUGAGGUACUAUAUGUACAAAUUGCUGAAUAAACUUUUGUUCUGUUCUGUUCUGAUGAAGUUUCCGUAUUCAAAGCUUUUGAAAAAAAUUAUGUUAUUCAGGCGAACAUGAUAUUGUUCAUAUUAAGGUAAUUAAACCCGAUAAACUAAAGCUAUUUCACGGUGUCAAUCCAUAACGGAUACCUCGUAGCGCAAUUUACCGUGCCCAAUACCUCGGAGCGCAGGGCACAGGAGCCUCACAGCUCAAAACAUGGAAGCCGGCGAAAAAGAGUUAAUAAAAAAGGGUAAAAUGACGUAAAUAUGAUUCAUCAAGACUCUCGCCAUGUCUCACGGAACUUUUGAUACGUUUACUUUUAUAGUAUGAUAUGCAUUUAAUGCAAUGUAUUUGUGUUGUUGACAAUUUGCGGAGUGGACACGGCUCAUGUGCAUUUCUGUCGACCUCGACUGAUGCUAAACAGGGAAAUGAUGAUUGUAACAUAAUCAUUACAUGAGCCGCGCCAUGAGAAAACCAACAUAGUGCGUUUUCGACCAGCAUGGACGAACUAAAAUUAAGGGAAAAAAUUGGAUCCUCAGGUUCCGUAGCAAACAUAUAGACAGAGUGAUAUCAAAGUCAGCUGUAGUUGGGGACUGACCGCUCUGUGGAUACAGCAAAUCAAAUUGUGUCCUGGUUAUUGUUUUACUCGCCCUAAGACGAUUUAUUGUGG